UGGGGAAUAUUGGACAAUGGGGGAAACCCUGAUCCAGCAAUUCCGCGUGUGUGAAGAAGGCCUUCGGGUUGUAAAGCACUUUGGACGGGGAAGAAGGCAGGCUGUUUAAGAGAUGGUUUGCUUGACGGUACCCGUAGAACAAGCACCGGCUAACUCUGUGCCAGCAGCCGCGGUAAUACAGAGGGUGCGAGCGUUAAUCGGAAUUACUGGGCGUAAAGGGCGCGUAGGCGGUCUUGCAAGUGAGAUGUGAAAUCCCCGGGCUUAACCUGGGAACUGCAUCUUAAACUGUGAGGCUGGAGUACUGUAGAGGACAGUGGAAUUUCCGGUGUAGCGGUGAAAUGCGUAGAGAUCGGAAGGAACAUCAGUGGCGAAGGCGACUGUCUGGACAGAUACUGACGCUGAGGCGCGAAAGCGUGGGGAGCAAACAGGAUUAGAUACCCCCGUAGUCC
rnacentral:rRNA from 1 species